rnacentral:rRNA from 1 species
AUUGAACGCUGGCGGCAGGCCUAACACAUGCAAGUCGAGCGAGCGGCGGACGGGGGAGUAAUGUCUGGGAAACUGCCUGAUGGAGGGGGAUAACUACUGGAAGCGGUAGCUAAUACCGCAUACCAUCAGAUGGGCCCAGAUGGGUUUAGCUAGUGGGUGGGGUAACGUCUCACCUAGGCGACGAUCCCUAGCUGGUCUGAGAGGAUGACCAGCCACACGGGAACUGGGACACGGUCCAGACUCCUACGGGAGGCAGCAGUGGGGAAUAUUGCCCAAGGGGCGCAAGCCUGAUGCAGCCAUGCCGCGUGUGUGAAGAAGGCCUUCGGGUUGUAAAGCACUUUCAGCGGGGAGGCGUUACCCGCAGAAGAAGCACCGGCUAACUCCGUGCCAGCAGCCGCGGUAAUAC